AAAGGCAAUGUCCAGUUAUUCUCAAACCAUGUGUGACAGCCAGCCUGGUAGAGAAGAAAGAAAUGGCACGUAAAUAUGUGAAUCUUUCUGCCAACCUGUAACCUAAAUCACGGUCUGCUGUGUACUCUUGGUUGAACUUGGCGUGGAUGCAUUUCUUGAUAAUGUUGAAGCCAAUGAUGUCCAACUGUGCCGCUGGAAGAGGAAGAGAAGAGAGUCAAGUUGCUGGCAGUGCAAACCAACCUUGGAACAAGGCAUGACCAAUCCAAGAUGACUCAGUCCCAUGAGAAAGGGCCCAGCUCACACAAACCUGUUUUCCAAAGUUCUAUGGAGAACAUGACAACAAUGGAGAGGUGGACUCCCACUCGGUCAACUUGGAGAGUCUCCGGGCAGCAUAGGAGGACAAUGCCUGUAAGACCACGGGGGUUUGUGCUACCGUA